rnacentral:lncRNA from 1 species
AAAAAAGAAAACCGACUCAAUUAAUACUAAAGAUCAAACUAUUACUUCAAGGAAGAUGUUAUAAAUGACAAUUUAGCCACCAAAAUCAUUUGCCCAUGAGCGUGAACGCUCUGGAAAGGAUCUGUCCCUGUUUAUAGUGCACGAUGUUAAUUCCUGGCAGAUUUUUCAUAUUUCAAUAACUCUCCCCAGUCCUGGCACUGAAGGGCUUUGGAAGUGUGAUCUGCACUGAUGUUAUGUGCAUUGAAUGUUUAAAUUUCCUCUCCCUCUAAUCGUGACUCCACGACAGAGACACAGGAGAGGGUGAGCAUCCGGAGCUGAGUUUUGAUAACGUCCGUUUGCUGGGCUGACAGAUGGGGCUGGCUUUGAUGGGAUUUCGUGCGGGUGAGGAGGGUGAGCAGUUGGGCUGCAGGGGCAGUCACUGUAUCACCUGCUCCACGGAUGCUGUCACUCACUGCCGUGAUGAGCCGAAUCACAGCUGAGAACAUUUUUAGACUAGUGAGAACAGUGUAGGUGGCAGAAGGGAAUAGUCUCUCUUUUGGCAAUUUUCAUUGAAAUUUAGAGUUUUUCAAAUGUUGCCAUUCAUCUCGGGUGGAGGGAGAGGAAGCCUUUGCAAUUUUCCUGUGAUUUGAGACCACACUAGGUGAAUUAAUGGAAGUGAAUCUAACAGAUGUGGCUGCUGACAUUCAGAAAGAUGAACUAUUUACAUCACUUUUCUCUGUUUUAGGAGCUGCCGCUGAAAGGGAUUUUGGCAAAUGUUAUUCAUGUGGCUUAUGUGCCAUCCAUCAACGAGGCACUGCAAGGAGGGAUCCCGCUGCCCAAUCUGCUGGGCAUUAAAUACCGGCAGGCUGAAAUUAGCAAGUCUGAGAACGCUCUGGUGCUGAAUGUGCCUGCCGCAGAAACCUGACGUGAGAGGUACGGCUGCUCCCUGCUGCUGCGGCGAAGAGUGAGCAAAAAAGGGCAAAGCAAGUGUGGUGGGUCUUCAAAGGGUCAUCUUCCUCUUUGCUUGACUUUUCAGUAAUUUGACUCUAUUUGACUCUAUAAGCUAGAAUAAAAAGACCGCACCACCAAAUAAUGGGACUCA